rnacentral:rRNA from 1 species
UACGGAGGGGGUUAGCGUUGUUCGGAAUUACUGGGCGUAAAGCGCGCGUAGGCGGAUUAGAAAGUUGGGGGUGAAAUCCCGGGGCUCAACCCCGGAACUGCCUCCAAAACUACUAGUCUAGAGUUCGAGAGAGGUGAGCGGAAUUCCGAGUGUAGAGGUGAAAUUCGUAGAUAUUCGGAGGAACACCAGUGGCGAAGGCGGCUCACUGGCUCGAUACUGACGCUGAGGUGCGAAAGUGUGGGUAGCGAACAGG